AACAUAUGUUUAGAUAACAUAUUUGAAUAAAUAUUCUCAACAGACUAACUAGUUUCAACUGUAUGCUCUUUAUUGCUGUUUCCAUACUGACUUUAAAAAAGCUGUACCGAUUUAGCAUGGUACCAAUGAAGAAUGGAUGAACCAGUUUCAGAGUGAACAGCAUGAAUGGCCUACAUGUUAUAAUGUUUGCUACUUCAGGGGUUAUAAACUAUCACUGCAUAUUGCUUUAAUUUGCAUGUUUCCCAUCACUACCUAACUUACCCUGAGGACACUACUUCCUUUGUAGCCCUCUCAAGUUUGAGUUUUGUUUCUUUUUUUUUCUCCCAUAUCCUUCCUCCCACUGGACCUGUAAGUGGUAGUCCACUUUCCUCCUUUCUCAGUAUGGUUUCUCCCCUACCUAAAAUCUCCCAUUUAGAAUCUCACAUCAUCAAAUUUUAUAACCAACUAGUCUUCAUUUUCAUCAUGGUCUACAGAUCCCUAGUAUCAUUUCCCAUCCCAUUAUUUCUCCGCAGAUACUUUCUGGAUUAGUCACUUUUUCUAAUACAACUCCUGUUUCAUUUCUUGGCAAUUCCAAUAAACAUUUAGACGAUUGUUUCAAUACUCGUUCUUAUCAGUUCCUUGAACCUUUCCAUGACCUCAUAUCUUUCUCCUAUUAUUCCCUUGGUCAUCAUGAACAAUUAUACACAAUUUUCUAUAAUUGCUGUCUUUCUAAUCAUAUCUUCUCAUAUCUAUGUCAAGGUCUAUUUUUUGAAAGGAAAAUACUCUAAUAUACAUCGGCAUAUCAUUAAAAUAGUAUUUUUCUAAAAACAUGAAAGGGAUAGUAGUAUAUUUUUGAUCAUGAUUUGCUGACUUACAGGGCACCUCCCCCAUGAUGUGCUUGAUGAAGGUUGUGAUUCACUCACCACUGCUAAGCAGAGACUCUACAUGCUGAGGAUAAGCAAGGCAAUGGGAGGCUUUUAUAAGCAUAUAAUGGACACACGAUCACUUUGCCUUCUUCGUAUUACCCUCAGGGCAAACGGUCUAAAUGGUGUCCAAUUUCUUUUUUUUUUUUCGAGACUGAGCCUUGCUC
rnacentral:lncRNA from 10 species